rnacentral:rRNA from 1 species
AAUCUCAAAAAAGCGUUCUCAGUUCGGAUUGUGGGCUGCAACCCGCCCACAUGAAGUUGGAGUUGCUAGUAAUCCCGAAUCAGCACGUCGGGGUGAAUGCGUUCCCGGGGAUUGUACACACCGCCCGUCAAGCCAUGGGAGCUGGGGGUACUCGAAGUCGGUCACGCCAACCCGCAAGGGAAGCGUCCGCCUAAGGUAAAACCAGUGACUGGGGUUAAGUCGUAACAAGGUAGCCCUACGAGAACGUGGGGCUGGAUCACCUCCUUU